AGCCCUUCCCCCUUUCCCCAAGCCCCGCCGGAUCUGCCUCCUCCCGACGCCCCUCCAUUCCGCCCCAAGCCUUUCACCUCCGGCCCGAAGCCCUUCCCUGAAGCCCCUUCACAGCCAGCUCUGCCUCCUCCCGACGUCCCUUCUCUCCGGUCGAAGCCCUUCACCUCCGCCCGAAGCCUCUCACCGCCGGCCGAGCCCCUCCACCUCCGGCUUCACCUCCGCCCGA
rnacentral:lncRNA from 1 species